rnacentral:rRNA from 1 species
CCUACGGGAGGCUGCAGUGGGGAAUAUUGGACAAUGGGGGGAACCCUGAUCCAGCCAUGCCGCGUGUGUGAAGAAGGCCCUCGGGUUGUAAAGCACUUUCAGUGAGGAAGAACGCCUGGUGGUUAAUACCCAUCAGGAAAGACAUCACUCACAGAAGAAGCACCGGCUAACUCCGUGCCAGCAGCCGCGGUAAUACGGAGGGUGCGAGCGUUAAUCGGAAUUACUGGGCGUAAAGCGCGCGUAGGUGGCUUGAUAAGCCGGUUGUGAAAGCCCCGGGCUCAACCUGGGAACGGCAUCCGGAACUGUCAAGCUUGAGUGCAGGAGAGGAAGGUAGAAUUCCCGGUGUAGCGGUGAAAUGCGUAGAGAUCGGGAGGAAUACCAGUGGCGAAGGCGGCCUUCUGGACUGACACUGACACUGAGGUGCGAAAGCGUGGGUAGCAAACAGGAUUAGAUACCCCUGUAGUC